rnacentral:rRNA from 1 species
ACGGUCCUAAGGUAGCGAAAUUCCUUGUCAGGUAAGUUCUGACCCGCACGAAAGGUGUAACGAUCUGGGCACUGUCUCAACAACCCGCCCGGCGAAAUUGUAGUACCGGUGAAGAUGCCGGUUACCCGCGACUAGACGGAAAGACCCCAUGGAGCUUUACUGUAGCCUAAUAUUGGAUUUCGGUAUUUCACGUACAGGAUAGGUGGGAGACUGGGAAGCACAGGCGUCAGCUUGUGUGGAGUCGACCUUGGGAUACCACUCUUGGAGUGCUGGAAUUCUAACCUGCGGCUUUGAAGCAAGUCGGGGGACAUUGUUAGGUGGGCAGUUUGACUGGGGCGGUCGCCUCCUAAAGAGUAACGGAGGCGUUCAAAGGUUCGCUCAGCUUGAACGGAAAUCAAGCAAAAGAGUGCAAACGCAGAAGCGAGCCUAACUGCGAGACUGACGGGUCGAGCAGUAACGAAAGUUGGAGUUAGUGAUCCGGCGGUAUGUGAAUGGAAAUGCCGUCGCUCAACGGAUAAAAGCUACCCUGGGGAUAACAGGCUGAUCUCCCCCAAGAGUCCACAUCGACGGGGAGGUUUGGCACCUCGAUGUCGGCUCAUCGCAUCCUGGGGCUGUAUUCGGUCCCAAGGGUUUGGCUGUUCGCCAAUUAAAGCGGUACGCGAGCUGGGUUCAGAACGUCGUGAGACAGUUCGGUCCCUAUCUGUCGUGGGCGUAGGAUAUUUGCAAGGAGCUGUCCCUAGUACGAGAGGACCGGGAUGGACGCACCUCUGGUGCACCAGUUGUCACGCCAGUGGCACAGCUGGGCAGCUAUGUGCGGAACGGAUAAACGCUGAAGGCAUCUAAGCGUGAAGCCGCCCUUAAGAUAAGAUAUCCCUUCUGUUUACAGAGUAAGACCCCUUGAAGACUACAAGGUUGAUAGGCUCAAAGUGUAAGCACGGUGACGUGUUUAGCUAGCGAGUACUAAUCGGUCGAGUGCUUAACCUU